UGGGGAAUAUUGCGCAANGGGGGGAACCCUGACGCAGCCAUGCCGCGUGAAUGAAGAAGGCCUUAGGGUUGUAAAGUUCUUUCGGUAUUGAGGAAGGUUGAUGUGUUAAUAGCACAUCAAAUUGACGUUAAAUACAGAAGAAGCACCGGCUAACUCCGUGCCAGCAGCCGCGGUAAUACGGAGGGUGCGAGCGUUAAUCGGAAUAACUGGGCGUAAAGGGCACGCAGGCGGUUAUUUAAGUGAGGUGUGAAAGCCCCGGGCUUAACCUGGGAAUUGCAUUUCAGACUGGGUAACUAGAGUACUUUAGGGAGGGGUAGAAUUCCACGUGUAGCGGUGAAAUGCGUAGAGAUGUGGAGGAAUACCGAAGGCGAAGGCAGCCCCUUGGGAAUGUACUGACGCUCAUGUGCGAAAGCGUGGGGAGCAAACAGGAUUAGAUACCCUGGUAGUCCACGCUGUAAACGCUGUCGAUUUGGGGGUUGGGGUUUAACUCUGGCGCCCGUAGCUAACGUGAUAAAUCGACCGCCUGGGGAGUACGGCCGCAAGGUUA
rnacentral:rRNA from 1 species